rnacentral:rRNA from 1 species
CCUACGGGAUGCUGCAGUGGGGAAUAUUGGACAAUGGGGGGAACCCUGAUCCAGCGACGCCGCGUGAGUGAAGAAGUAUUUCGGUAUGUAAAGCCCUAUCAGCAGGGAAGAAAAUGACGGUACCUGACUAAGAAGCCCCGGCUAACUACGUGCCAGCAGCCGCGGUAAUACGUAGGGGGCAAGCGUUAUCCGGAUUUACUGGGUGUAAAGGGAGCGUAGACGGGACAGCAAGUCUGAUGUGAAAGGCCAGGGCCCAACCCCGGGACUGCAUUGGAAACUGUUGUACUUGAGUACAGGGGAGGUAAGCGGAAUUCCGAGUGUAGCGGUGAAAUGCGUAGAGAUUAGGAGGAAAACCAGUGGCGAAGGCGGCCUACUGGACUGUAACUGACGUUGAGGCUCGAAAGCGUGGGGAGCAAACAGGAUUAGAUACCCGAGUAGUC